CACAGGAAACACAUGAGCAGGUAGGCCACUCUGCAAACAUUUCAAGCGUUGCUUGGAGACUGGACAUGUGCGUGUGGAGCCUGUUACUGUGACUGCACUCUCUAUCUCCCUUUACACAGUGAAAAUCUAGAUAGGGGUUCUCUUCUGCCCCACAGCAUAUGACAUCUGACAACCAAUGGCUGAAGUUCUAGAAAUAGCAGCCUAAAAGUAAUGUUGUCUUCAUGCAGUACAUACUCGAAGAAAACACAGAAAACUUCAAAUGAAUAAAGAGAAAGAAGAAUUGGUGUGCAGGUGUGUGGUAAUAUUUCCAGAAUCAUUAACAGCAGGAGAGUAUGAGAAAGAGAUCUCUUUCCAAAAAUGGCAUGUAAUUGUACCGCAGCUCAGGCUGUCUGACCUAGUUCAAAAUGAUCUUUAUCGCUAUUGGUUUCCUGUAUCCUCUCUAAAAAGCAAUUAAAUAUUACAUAUCUUUCUGGUUGUCCCUACUGAACUGAAGCAGAAAUGGGGGGUGGGGGGACCUCAGUGAUUGUUAUUACAGAAGAAAGUGUUAUAUAUUUUUCAGAUUGUGUACUGAAAACCAUAUUAGUGAUUUGGUGACUACUGCAGCAUGCCCACAGAUUGCUUACUAGAAGAAGGCCCUGGCCAGAGAAAGAGCGGGAUUGGCAGGCUCUGUGGUUUGCUCUAGACCCCAAUAUGUACACGUUGGUGCAAUGGGACUUGUGCAGUGUUGCAGGCUGCUUGGCAUUACAACAGGAACCAGUUUUGCUGACAGGGCAGAAGUCCAAUACUCCUCUCAGUAGAAUGAGCAGGAGACCCUCCAAAUGCAGUAGGAGGGCUAGGAAUGCAGGAGGGCUAGUGUAGUAUUGCACAUAAGGUGUACCCCAGUCAAAGAAUGAAGCUACACAUCUGCAAAUAAAACAUUUUAAAUGUGUUGUAAUGUGCAAUAUACAAAUGUCACACUAGAUGGCGACAAUGAGCUAUGCCAAAUUCAAUGUAUUUUUCAAAGCAUUUUUAAAAAGCAUUUUCAUGGCGUUUUUUAUAUGUAUGUAGAUUCUACCUAACACUACCCUACUGCUGUAGUGAAAAGGAACCAAGGGUUACAGAGACAGGGAAAUCUCUGCACGAACUGCUUAUAUUGUGUAACCAGGGCAACAGGAUAAGCAUGGGAGAGUAUCACCUACUCUUUGCUGUUUUUCUGUAUGUUAGUGACUUUAUGUCAACUGCAGAUUUCAUCUACACAUACUUAUUUCCUUGCCAGUGCUUCUUUCUCAUUGUUUACUCCUAGGUAAGUGGAUAUCAGAUUGUGGGCAUCAAAGGACCUUACCAAGACAGCUUUUCUGUUGAUGCUCAAGUUGCACUGCAGAUUCAAGUCUCCAUGAUCAACCCUCAGGAAUGCA
rnacentral:lncRNA from 1 species